GCCAACUUAGCUCAGUCGGUAGAGCAGCUCACUCGUAACGAGCAGGUCAUCUGUUCGAUUCCGAUAGUUGGCUCCA
rnacentral:tRNA from 1 species